GCGCGCUUAGCUCAGUGGGAGAGCGCCUCGUUUACACCGAGGAUGUCGGCAGUUCGAUCCUGUCAGCGUGCACCA
rnacentral:tRNA from 1 species